UACGUAGGGUCCGAGCGUUGUCCGGAAUUAUUGGGCGUAAAGGGCUCGUAGGCGGUUUGUCGCGUCGGGAGUGAAAACACGGGGCUUAACCCCGUGCCUGCUUCCGAUACGGGCAGACUAGAGGUAUGCAGGGGAGAACGGAAUUCCUGGUGUAGCGGUGGAAUGCGCAGAUAUCAGGAAGAACACCGGUGGCGAAGGCGGCUCUCUGGGCCUUACCUGACGCUGAGGAGCGAAAGCGUGGGUAGCGAACAGG
rnacentral:rRNA from 1 species